UUAAUUAAAAGCGAUAGAAAAGAUACUUUGUUCCUCUCUCGCGCCUUCCUUAGAUAUUCUGUUCUCUUCCCUUCACUGUGCAAGUACCAUCAAUUAACAGCCAGCCAUUUUUUCUUCUUCUUCUUCUUUAACCUUAUUUACGUGAGUAUUCAACACUCAACAUGCCCUGUGCUUCGGUGCAGAGAGUUUUACAAGCAGAUAUCAUUUUACUGAUUAGAUUUUAUAUAACCAAUACAAUAUCAGGAAGUGCAUUGUUCUCUGCUGGGAUUCUCUGAGUGAAUGUCCAAUGUCUCACAAACUUCUUGUUCAGGCUGGCAUAACUGAAGUUGGACCAAUUCUUGUGGAUUCCCUCCUACAUGCAUACCAUAUGAAAGUGGAAUAAAUGCAUUUCUGCUUGUUGUGGCCAUAUCUGUUGUACCAAAGACCUGGGACAUCAAGCCUCAUUGUUAAGCAAUUGUGCUUUCUUUUGUUGCACUUCAUGGCCUAAGUGAAUAUAAGUCUAUUGUUGCAUAGUUGUGUUGUGUGUGUUCUUGGUGAUUGAGGUUUACCUUCUUGUAAAGUUCCACAUUUUCCUGGAAGAUAAGGUUUCCCUGUAUGUGAAAAUAUAAAGAUCAGUCAGUGUUAUAAAAUGUUUUAGAGGAAAAUUAGCAAAGGUUAUUUCUCAGAAAGACCUUUCGGUUCAGCUCUUGGAUUUCAUCUUUCAGAAUUUGUUCCUGCAGAAUUUGAUUAAACUUGUUAAUUGUUUCUAGCGUUCAGUUUGUCCUUAAUGAGAUUAAUCAAGCAAGCACAUUUAUUUCCAUUCCUUCUCAGUGUGAAUCUGAAAAGCACUUGACCUUUUUCAUGCGGACACCUUGGAGACUCAGUUCCAGUUGAUUCUCUAGAUCUUGUAGGUUUCUGACAGUCAGACCAUAUAGCUGUUCUCCCAUCAAUUGCCUGCGUCCUCAAAAUGUUAGUGGUCUUAUGCAUAGAACCUAAUGAGAUACAGAAUCCAUUCUCUUUAUGUAGUCACCAUUAUUUGCUUAAAGGGAAAAUAUUUUUUUUUUUCAUUUUACUGUUUUGGAGUGUAUUGCAUGGUGUAUUAGAGUAGUGUUUGAUUGAUGCGGAGCUCCAUGAUAGAAUAUUUAUUCUACUGAAUUGUUUACAUAAUGCUAGGAUUGGCAUGUUAAUACUAGGAUUCACGUGUGAUGUUUUCCUUUUCUUUUUCUUUAUUUAAUUCAGAAAAAAAAGUAAAGGAAGAAGAGUCAUUACUUCUAUCAAAACCUUCUUUAUGGAUGGUACCUGUUGGGACAUAGUAUUAAUGUUUCUUGUAAGUAGUCUAAGAUGGAGGUAAAUGAAUGCUGCUUCUGCAUGGACUAUUUUUCAUGCUAUUCUGGAAAAGGUAAAAACUACUUGUGUGAGUAAUUUAGAGCAAGGCAAUAUUUUCUGUAAAAUUUAAAUAUUUAAGUCUAUGUUUCUUCCAAGUAGGCUAUGCAAGAUGAUGCUUUAUUUUGUAGGAAGAGUCUGUAUUUUUAUAUCUUGGAUCUUCUUGUGAACCAUAAACUCACUGAUACAGUACUAGAGGAUUUCAAUCAGCAGGUCCACACUUCUAUAAUUCAAUCUCACUUCUAUAAGUUUUACUUAAUAUAGAAGUGAUAUUCUGCUGUAUGUCUUUCCUUUUACUGUUUGUCUUCACUUUUUGAAAAAAUGAAAUUUAGGUUUCCCUUUUAUAUUUGAUAUAUUUAUGUUGAUAUAAUUGGGGGGUAACAAACACAGGUGGAUACUUAAUGGUAUUGUAUGGGAUUAGCCAUUGCAUUGUUUUUCGGCUCCAAGGGUUCUAUCAAUGUAGCCGAAAUAUGAAACGAGUAUGAUAGUUGUUUAAUAUAUAGGAUGUCUUAGUUUGUAACUUUGGAUUUGUUUUUGCUUCAUGGUUUCUUGAUCUAAUUUUUAGUUUUUCUGCAAAUUCAAUUGGAGGAUGAUUUCUGUCGGCAAGAAUUAGGAUGCUAUUUCUAUAAAAUAUCAACAAUAUAUCAUGAACAUUUUGUUGGAUUGAAUGAAGCAUGCUAUGAGCCUAUGACACAGACAAUCUACUAUAGUACGGGUGGAAAUCAAACCAACCUUACUCAAAGGCUAUAUUAUGGAUUCUGCUACAUUGUGAAGGACCGGUAGUUAAACCCCUCGUGUAUGAACUUGAUAGCUCAAUCGGUAAAGAAAUGGGGCAUGACUUAGAGUAGGACUUAUACUGGUCCUAGCAAAGUAGUCAAGGAUUCAAGAUAGUUGUUUUUCAGUGAUUACUCUGUGUUUGACUUCUUCACAAAUAAACUAUAAUUUUAUUUUAUUUUAUAUAUA